rnacentral:lncRNA from 1 species
UGAGAAGACCAACCAAGCAUAGCAUGCUAGAUUUAUUUACUUUCUAACAUGACAUUAUCCAUUCCAAGGGUUGCUAAUCAAAGUACAUACAAAUAAUUCACACACUCAAAGCAUAAAGUGCACCCAAUGCAGACAAAAAGUAUAGAACAAAAUAGAGUGAGUACUACAAUUUAUUUAUGACAAUAACCCCUUUGAUGAAUCAGGAAAAAUGAAAAAAAAAAAAACCUGAAAUUGUAGAGUGGUACUGACACAAGCUUUAGUAAUAGAUAGGGUUGAGUCUUUUGAAAGCCAUUCUAAAAAGGGAGGAGGCUUUUUAUCCUUUGACCUGUGUUCUAAGUGAUGGGUGUAACUUUUCGGUAUGAUAAAUAAUGCAAAAUUUUCCAUCUAAGGAUCAUUUUUUGGAAUUUUUUUCAUAGUUUUCAGCAAAAAAGUCAUGGUCGCAGAUAAUUGGCCUAUGGAAGCAAGGUAAGGGCAGUGGAACCUGUUUAUGUCAAGUUCUUAUCUAUAGGACAGCAAUCACAUGAGAUGGUGAGAUGUCAAGACUUUGAUUGAAGAGUGGAGGAAAGUGAGAGUUGAGAGAGGGUUAGAGAGAGUGGUCUUGGAUAUGUGAAGUCCCAAGACAUGUGACACUCUAUAUUGGUCAUGUCAUGCAGGAGACAACAUGUCAUAAGUUAGACACAUGGUAUUUAAUUGUUGGUCCACAUAGAUUUUGGAAAAUAGAACAUCAACAUUUAGUGCCCUGCACUCCUUUGAAAUCAUGUUGCAUUUUGGAACUCAUCUCCAAAUGAAGAAUCAUCAUAUGCACAUGCAAACAACAAUGUGUACUUUACCAUAUAAUAUUAUUUUAAAAAUAAAUUCUUGAUAAGGAUUUAAAAGUACAUGUAGAGGAUGAGGACUCUAUCACAAAUAUACAAACUCUAAUCAAAAGAACAAAUGAAUAAAGCUUUCUCCAAUAUAUAAUCAAUAUAUGCCUCAAUAUGGUACCACAUGACCUUAUACAAAGGAAAAACAACUUUACUCUCUAUAGGGCAUCAACACAUCCACAAAGAGACUGAAGUUUUGCCUCACACUUUCCUAUUUUAACACUUUUGAUUUACAAUCCAAUUGAGUUAACUAACAUUGAGAGGAAUGCCCUUGAAAGUUGCAGCUGUUAAGACCUAAAAGGAGGAAUAGAAAUAAAUUAAGUCACUUACCGACUAUGUAGUUCUCCAUUUGUCCUAAAGAAUCCUUGCAUUUCUUUCUCCAAAAUAGAGUGAGGUAAAAAAUUUGCCAUAGAAUUUUGCUUCUAAUUGUACUCCCCAAAACUCUAAAGGAAAUGAUAAUCAUGUCACUUAUGCUCCUAAGAGGAACCCAAACAAGCCUCACUAGUCUAAACAGCAUAUGCCACAGCCCCAAAGUCAUCAGACGCUGUAAAAAAAGGAUGAGCAAUCGAGUCUAUACUCACCAUACAUUGGGUUGCAAUCAGGAGUUAGGGCUUUGUAACGUCUACUCAUCUCUAGCAAAUCAUUGGUAUUGAGCUUCUUGUUAGCCAUUAACCAUGCAAAGGCUUUAAACUUAAAUGGGGAUUUAGAUUUUCAUAUGAAUUUUUUUAAUCCAAAGAUUUCCAUGUGAAUUUUAUUAGAGAGAAAUGAAAACAUGGUUAAAAGGAAAGAUUUUAUUGUAAAUCAGCCUAAAGAAGAUAAUGACUAAACUUUUAUGUUAAGGAUAAACAAUGAUAAGUGCACGACAGAGAAAAGGACAUGAGUCUUUCAAGAUUCUCGAUCUCCAAAUCAUCAAAGUUACAAUGAAAGUUAAGGGUUCAAGAAAACAGAAAAAGAAAAGAUACUACAGAUAGAUGAAAUAAGAGUAUUUCUAACCAUCACAACUCUAAAAAGAUUUGGAAACUAAGAGCAUAGAGUUGAUCUCCCACCAUACGUCUUCCCAAAAAAUAAAUCUUUGCCCCAUUACCACCGCAAAAUGUGUAUAUUUGGAGAAUUAUGGAAAACUUGUACGAUUGCCUCCCCAAGGCACUAACAUGACAACCUAACUAGCAUGUUAGCAUCCCAAUCAUUAGUGUGUAUCCCAUGGAUACUCAAUAUUACCUUAUGCCGAACAGCAACACUUUCCCUAAGAAAAACCUCCAAAUCCACUUCCCUAAGAUGGAUCUAAUCCUCAAUUCCCAAACCUUAAACCCUUUCCACCUUAGGCUUGCACUAGAUUCCAACUAAUAAGAUGAUCUCUCUUUGCCCCUCCAACCCCAAAGUAAAGAAAAUCCUUUUGCAUUUUCUCAAUCGUUAUCAUCAUUGUUGAUGGAAACUCAUACAAAGAGAAGUAACUAGGAAUGUGAGGCAAGCAAGUCUAUAAUCGAUUUAUAAGUUUUAACUUGGUUUCAAAACUAGGGUCAAACCUUAUACAAGGUAAGAACUUGGUGAAAUACCAAUUAUUCCUUUAAAUGAAGAGGGAAAAAAGAGAUUGAAAAGAAGAAAUAAAAGAGUUGUUGACCACUAUAGUGACUUGACUCAUAUAUUUAGUUUCAUGUGGGCUUUGGCUGCACAUUAGUUUUGCCCAAAAUGGACCUUUCCAACAUACCCAAUGGCUUGUUUGUGUACCUGCUGCUUUGCAGUAAGCUUAUGGUAGCACAUAUGUUAUUUAAGGAAAUCAAGGUUCAUGUAAGUUGUUGAUGUGGGAUGGAUGGGUGUAGAAAAGUGGCAGAAAUCAUUGUUGCAAAAUCGGGAAUCGAGCCCAGGUUGCAGCUGUGAACAAAAGGGACAGAGACCCCACUGGGCUAUUUAUAAACUUUGUAAAAGUUAAUGUACAUAAACAUACAAUAUAAGUUUGUUUUUUUGUUUUUGUUUUUUUUUUUUUUUUUUUUGUGUGUUUCAUUAAUUUAAACUCUUAAUUAAAUAUAAAGAUUUAAGCGUACAUUUAUUUUUAUAAGAUAUGUAUGACAAGAAUAUAAAAUAAAUAAUACAAUAAUUUUUUAAAUUAUAAAAUAAUAAGAUAUAUAAUUUUUCACAUGUAAAUAAAAUAAAAUAUUAUAUUUUUCUUUUCAUCUUAAAUAUAUCUUCACAUUUAAAUAUUAUACAUUUUUAUAAAAUAAAAUUAAAAAUAUUAAUACAUUUAUAUUCAUCCUUAUAAUCAUUUAAUUUGAUAAUAUCAAAUAUAACAAUGAAUCGGUAACUUUUCCCAUUCAAUUACCGGUCAGAUUCUUAAAACAUUGGUUUUUAUUAGUAUUUUUCUUAUGUUUUUUAUAUUUUUCCUUUCUUUUUUAUUAUUAUUAUUUAUUUAUUUUUAAGUUAAGGCAUAUGUCCUAUUCCGCAUCAAGGCUUAUGUCUCGCUUCAUUUAGACAAAAUGCCUCAAAACCGCCUUCAACCUUUUAAAACAUUGUUCGUAAGGUAUAAAAGGUCAGCUUUUUUGUUUGAGCAACCCUUUUAUACGUUGUGCAUCAUGUGUUGCCCCCUCUUUAGGGGCUCAUUUUAUAAUGUGGUUAUUUACUUAUCAAAAAAUAGCAGAGAAUGUUUUAUGGAGUUACGAUGGUGGGAUUGCUUUAUAACUCAAAUCCCAGAUCAGCCACUGGCUGCAGUUUGCUCAGGUGUAGGACAAGAUUCACAACCUUACCUUGAGGGUUAAUGGACAUAUAUGCAGAAAUUCAUAUACAACAACCAAAAACCAUAGCAAUUUUCAGAAUCAGUAUUCCUUUCAGAGUUAAGUUCCUUCAAUCAACUACACUUUUAUAGUUAAGUUCCUUUAACCUGAGAAACUAAGAGAUCUGAAAACUUACGUCAAUGACUUCCCUUCAAAGACAAUUGGAGGAGCAAUAGCAGCAACUAUACAAA